AGUUCGAUCCUGGCUCAGAUUGAACGCUGGCGGGAUGCUUUACACAUGCAAGUCGAACGGCAGCACGGACUUCGGUCUGGUGGCGAGUGGCGAACGGGUGAGUAAUGUGUCGGAACGUGCCUAGUAGCGGGGGAUAACUACGCGAAAGCGUAGCUAAUACCGCAUACGCCCUUCAGGGAGAAAGCGGGGGACCUUCGGGCUUUCGCACUAUUAGAGCGGCCGAUAUCGGAUUAGCUCGUUGGUGGGGUAACGGCUCACCCGACGAUCCGUAGCUGGUUUGAGAGGACGACCAGCCACACUGGGACUGAGACACGGCCCAGACUCCUACAGGAGGCAGCAGUGGGGAAUUUUGGACAAUGGGGAAACCUGAUCCAGCCAUCCCGCGUGUGCGAUGAAGGCCUUCGGAGUUUGUAAAGCACUUUUGGCAGGAAAAGAAACGGCACGGGAUAAUACCCCGUGCAACUGACGGUACCUGCAGAAUAAGCACCGGCUAACUACGUGCCAGCAACCGCGGUAAUACGUAGGGUGCAAGCGUUAAUCGGAAUUACUGGGCGUAAAGCGUGCGCAGGCGGUUCCGGAAGAAGAUGUGAAAUCCAGAGCUUAACUUUGGAACUGCAUUUUUAACUACCGAGCUAGAGUGUGUCAGAGGAGGUGGAAUUCCGCGUGUAGCAGUGAGAAAUGCGUAGAUAUGCGGAGGAACACCGAUAGCGAAGGCAGCCUCCUGGGAUAACACUGACGCUCAUGCACGAAAGCGUGGGGGCAAACAGGAUUAGAUACCCUGGUAGUCCACGCCCUAAACGAUGUCAACUAGCUGUUGGGGCCUUCGGGCCUUGGUAGCGCAGCUAACGCGUGAAGUUGACCGCCUGGGGAAUACGGUCAUAAGAUUAAAACUCAAAGGAAUUGACAGGGACCCGCACAAGCGGUGGAUGAUGUGGAUUAAUUCCGUGCAACGCGAAAAACCUUACCUACCCUUGACAUGUCUGGAAUCCCGAAGAGAUUUGGGAGUGCUCGCAAGAGAACCGGAGCACAGGUGCUGCAUGGCUGUCGUCAGCUCGUGUCGUGAGAUGUUGGGUUAAGUCCCGCAACGAGCGCAACCCUUGUCAUUAGUUGCUACGAAGGGCACUCUAAUGAGACUGCCGGUGACAAACCGGAGGAAGGUGGGGAUGACGUCAAGUCCUCAUGGCCCAUAUGGGUAGGGCUUCACACGUCAUACAAUGGUCGGGACAGAGGGUCGCCAACCCGCGAGGGGGAGCCAAUCCCGAAACCCGAUCGUAGUCCGGAUCGCAGUCUGCAACUCGACUGCGUGAAGUCAAGAAUCGCUUCAGUAAUCGCGGAUCAGCAUGUCGCGGUGAAUACGUUCCAGGUCUUGUACACACCGCCCGUCACACCAUGGGAGUGGGUUUUGCCAAGUAGUUAGCCUAACCGUAAGGAGGGCGAUUACCACGGUAGGAUUCAUGACUGGGGUGAAGUCGUAACAAGGUAA
rnacentral:rRNA from 1 species